rnacentral:rRNA from 3 species
UUAAGCGACUAAGCGUACACGGUGGAUGCCCUGGCAGUCAGAGGCGAUGAAGGACGUGCUAAUCUGCGAUAAGCGUCGGUAAGGUGAUAUGAACCGUUAUAACCGGCGAUUUCCGAAUGGGGAAACCCAGUGUGAUUCGUCACACUAUCAUUAACUGAAUCCAUAGGUUAAUGAGGCGAACCGGGGGAACUGAAACAUCUAAGUACCCCGAGGAAAAGAAAUCAACCGAGAUUCCCCCAGUAGCGGCGAGCGAACGGGGAGCAGCCCAGAGCCUGAAUCAGUGUGUGUGUUAGUGGAAGCGUCUGGAAAGGCGCGCGAUACAGGGUGACAGCCCCGUACACAAAAAUGCACAUACUGUGAGCUCGAUGAGUAGGGCGGGACACGUGGUAUCCUGUCUGAAUAUGGGGGGACCAUCCUCCAAGGCUAAAUACUCCUGACUGACCGAUAGUGAACCAGUACCGUGAGGGAAAGGCGAAAAGAACCCCGGCGAGGGGAGUGAAAAAGAACCUGAAACCGUGUACGUACAAGCAGUGGGAGCACAGAGCAAUCUGUGUGACUGCGUACCUUUUGUAUAAUGGGUCAGCGACUUAUAUUCUGUAGCAAGGUUAACCGAAUAGGGGAGCCGAAGGGAAACCGAGUCUUAACUGGGCGUUAAGUUGCAGGGUAUAGACCCGAAACCCGGUGAUCUAGCCAUGGGCAGGUUGAAGGUUGGGUAACACUAACUGGAGGACCGAACCGACUAAUGUUGAAAAAUUAGCGGAUGACUUGUGGCUGGGGGUGAAAGGCCAAUCAAACCGGGAGAUAGCUGGUUCUCCCCGAAAGCUAUUUAGGUAGCGCCUCGUGAAUUCAUCUCCGGGGGUAGAGCACUGUUUCGGCAAGGGGGUCAUCCCGACUUACCAACCCGAUGCAAACUGCGAAUACCGGAGAAUGUUAUCACGGGAGACACACGGCGGGUGCUAACGUCCGUCGUGAAGAGGGAAACAACCCAGACCGCCAGCUAAGGUCCCAAAGUCAUGGUUAAGUGGGAAACGAUGUGGGAAGGCCCAGACAGCCAGGAUGUUGGCUUAGAAGCAGCCAUCAUUUAAAGAAAGCGUAAUAGCUCACUGGUCGAGUCGGCCUGCGCGGAAGAUGUAACGGGGCUAAACCAUGCACCGAAGCUGCGGCAGCGACGCUUAUGCGUUGUUGGGUAGGGGAGCGUUCUGUAAGCCUGUGAAGGUGUACUGUGAGGUAUGCUGGAGGUAUCAGAAGUGCGAAUGCUGACAUAAGUAACGAUAAAGCGGGUGAAAAGCCCGCUCGCCGGAAGACCAAGGGUUCCUGUCCAACGUUAAUCGGGGCAGGGUGAGUCGACCCCUAAGGCGAGGCCGAAAGGCGUAGUCGAUGGGAAACAGGUUAAUAUUCCUGUACUUGGUGUUACUGCGAAGGGGGGACGGAGAAGGCUAUGUUGGCCGGGCGACGGUUGUCCCGGUUUAAGCGUGUAGGCUGGUUUUCCAGGCAAAUCCGGAAAAUCAAGGCUGAGGCGUGAUGACGAGGCACUACGGUGCUGAAGCAACAAAUGCCCUGCUUCCAGGAAAAGCCUCUAAGCAUCAGGUAACAUCAAAUCGUACCCCAAACCGACACAGGUGGUCAGGUAGAGAAUACCAAGGCGCUUGAGAGAACUCGGGUGAAGGAACUAGGCAAAAUGGUGCCGUAACUUCGGGAGAAGGCACGCUGAUAUGUAGGUGAAGUCCCUCGCGGAUGGAGCUGAAAUCAGUCGAAGAUACCAGCUGGCUGCAACUGUUUAUUAAAAACACAGCACUGUGCAAACACGAAAGUGGACGUAUACGGUGUGACGCCUGCCCGGUGCCGGAAGGUUAAUUGAUGGGGUUAGCGCAAGCGAAGCUCUUGAUCGAAGCCCCGGUAAACGGCGGCCGUAACUAUAACGGUCCUAAGGUAGCGAAAUUCCUUGUCGGGUAAGUUCCGACCUGCACGAAUGGCGUAAUGAUGGCCAGGCUGUCUCCACCCGAGACUCAGUGAAAUUGAACUCGCUGUGAAGAUGCAGUGUACCCGCGGCAAGACGGAAAGACCCCGUGAACCUUUACUAUAGCUUGACACUGAACAUUGAGCCUUGAUGUGUAGGAUAGGUGGGAGGCUUUGAAGUGUGGACGCCAGUCUGCAUGGAGCCGACCUUGAAAUACCACCCUUUAAUGUUUGAUGUUCUAACGUGGACCCGUAAUCCGGGUUGCGGACAGUGUCUGGUGGGUAGUUUGACUGGGGCGGUCUCCUCCUAAAGAGUAACGGAGGAGCACGAAGGUUGGCUAAUCCUGGUCGGACAUCAGGAGGUUAGUGCAAUGGCAUAAGCCAGCUUGACUGCGAGCGUGACGGCGCGAGCAGGUGCGAAAGCAGGUCAUAGUGAUCCGGUGGUUCUGAAUGGAAGGGCCAUCGCUCAACGGAUAAAAGGUACUCCGGGGAUAACAGGCUGAUACCGCCCAAGAGUUCAUAUCGACGGCGGUGUUUGGCACCUCGAUGUCGGCUCAUCACAUCCUGGGGCUGAAGUAGGUCCCAAGGGUAUGGCUGUUCGCCAUUUAAAGUGGUACGCGAGCUGGGUUUAGAACGUCGUGAGACAGUUCGGUCCCUAUCUGCCGUGGGCGCUGGAGAAUUGAGGGGGGCUGCUCCUAGUACGAGAGGACCGGAGUGGACGCAUCACUGGUGUUCGGGUUGUCAUGCCAAUGGCACUGCCCGGUAGCUAAAUGCGGAAGAGAUAAGUGCUGAAAGCAUCUAAGCACGAAACUUGCCCCGAGAUGAGUUCUCCCUGACUCCUUGAGAGUCCUGAAGGAACGUUGAAGACGACGACGUUGAUAGGCCGGGUGUGUAAGCGCAGCGAUGCGUUGAGCUAACCGGUACUAAUGAACCGUGAGGCUUAACCUU